CUUUGCUGGCGACCGGCGCACGGGUGAGUAACACGUAUCCAACCUGCCCUUUACUCGGGGAUAGCCUUUCGAAAGAAAGAUUAAUACCCGAUAGCAUAAUGAUUCCGCAUGGUUUCAUUAUUAAAGGAUUCCGGUAAAGGAUGGGGAUGCGUUCCAUUAGGUUGUUGGUGUGGUAACGGCUCACCAAGCCUUCGAUGGAUAGGGGUUCUGAGAGGAAGGUCCCCCACAUUGGAACUGAGACACGGUCCAAACUCCUACGGGAGGCAGCAUG
rnacentral:rRNA from 1 species